rnacentral:rRNA from 1 species
UAGGUGGCAAGCGUUGUCCGGAAUUACUGGGUGUAAAGGGAGCGUAGGCGGGAAGACAAGUUGAAUGUUUAAACUAUCGGCUCAACCGAUAAUCGCGUUCAAAACUGUAUUUCUUGAGUGAAGUAGAGGCAGGCGGAAUUCCUAGUGUAGCGGUGAAAUGCGUAGAUAUUAGGAGGAACACCAGUGGCGAAGGCGGCCUGCUGGGCUUUAACUGACGCUGAGGCUCGAAAGCGUGGGUAGCAAA